GCCCUUGUAGCUCAGUGGUAGAGCGUUGCACUUGUACUUAAUUUAGACAUGCAAAAGCCCAGGGUUCAAACCCCUGCUGGGGCC